UACGAGCGGCAGACGGGUGAGUAACGCGUGGGAAUCUACCCAUCUCUACGGAACAACUCCGGGAAACUGGAGCUAAUACCGUAUACGUCCUUUUGGAGAAAGAUUUAUCGGAGAUGGAUGAGCCCGCGUUGGAUUAGCUAGUUGGUGUGGUAAUGGCCUACCAAGGCGACGAUCCAUAGCUGGUCUGAGAGGAUGAUCAGCCACACUGGGACUGAGACACGGCCCAGACUCCUACGGGAGGCAGCAGCA
rnacentral:rRNA from 1 species